rnacentral:rRNA from 1 species
AGAGUUUGAUCCUGGCUCAGAAUCAACGCUGGCGGCGUGCCUAACACAUGCAAGUCGAACGCGAAAGUGGGGGCAACUCCAUGAGUAGAGUGGCAGACGGGUGAGUAACACGUGGGUAACCUACCCUGAAGUGAGGAAUAACCCGCCGAAAGGUGGGCUAAUACCGCAUAACAUCCUUGAGACACAGGUCUUGGGGAUCAAAGCCCGAAAGGGCGCUCCGGGAGGGACCCGCGCCUGAUUAGCUAGUUGGUAGGGUAACGGCCUACCAAGGCUCCGAUCAGUAGCCGGCCUGAGAGGGUGAACGGCCACACUGGAACUGAGACACGGUCCAGACUCCUACGGGAGGCAGCAGUGGGGAAUUUUGCGCAAUGGGCGAAAGCCUGACGCAGCAACGCCGCGUGGGUGACGAAGUCCCUUGGGACGUAAAACCCUGUCGGAUGGGACGAAAAAUCCCGCAAGGGAAAUUGACUGUACCAUUAGAGGAAGCCCCGGCUAACUCCGUGCCAGCAGCCGCGGUAAUACGGGGGGGGCAAGCGUUGUUCGGAAUUACUGGGCGUAAAGGGCGUGUA